CUCGUAGGUGGCCAACUAAGUCAGACGUGAAAUCCCUCGGCUUAACCGGGGAACUGCGUCUGAUACUGGAUGGCUUGAGUUUGGGAGAGGGACGCGGAAUUCCAGGUGUAGCGGUGAAAUGCGUAGAUAUCUGGAGGAACACCGGUGGCGAAGGCGGCGUCCUGGACCAACACUGACACUGAGGAGCGAAAGCCAGGGGGAGCAAACG
rnacentral:rRNA from 1 species